rnacentral:rRNA from 1 species
UACGAAGGGGGGCUAGCGUUGCUCGGAAUCACUGGGCGUAAAGGGCGCGUAGGCGGAUCUUUAAGUCGGGGGGUGAAAGCUCAGGGCUCAACCCUGGAAUUGCCUUCGAUACUGAAGAUCUCGAGACCGGAAGAGGUAAGUGGAACUGCGAGUGUAGAGGUGAAAUUCGUAGAUAUUCGCAAGAACACCAGUGGCGAAGGCGGCUUACUGGUCCGGUUCUGACGCUGAGGCGCGAAAGCGUGGGGAGCAAACAGG